rnacentral:rRNA from 1 species
UUGGGAAUAUUGCACAAUUGGCGCAAGCCUGAUGCAGCCAUGCCGCGUGUGUGAAGAAGGCCUUCGGGUUGUAAAGCACUUUCAGCGGGGAGGAAGGCGAUAAGGUUAAUAACCUUGUCGAUUGACGUUACCCGCAGAAGAAGCACCGGCUAACUCCGUGCCAGCAGCCGCGGUAAUACGGAGGGUGCAAGCGUUAAUCGGAAUUACUGGGCGUAAAGCGCACGCAGGCGGUCUGUCAAGUCGGAUGUGAAAUCCCCGGGCUCAACCUGGGAACUGCAUUCGAAACUGGCAGGGUAGAGUCUUGUAGAGGGGGGUAGAAUUCCAGGUGUAGCGGUGAAAUGCGUAGAGAUCUGGAGGAAUACCGGUGGCGAAGGCGGCCCCCUGGACAAAGACUGACGCUCAGGUGCGAAAGCGUGGGGAGCAAACAGG